GACCCCGCCCCGGACCGGGCCGCACCCGGAACGCGGAACGCUCUCCGUCGGAGCCAGCCGCUGCGGUGGAGCAGGGCCAUGGCGGCGGCGCCAGCGGUGUGCGCCUCGCAGGGGCCCCCGCCUGGCGCACCGUCCCCGCCGGCGGGCGUGCCUGUGCCCGCGUCGGGCCUGGGCCGCUGCCGGUUGGCGCUGCUUGUGGCCGUGGCGCUGGACGUGGCGGGCAUGGCGGCGCUGCUGACCGGCGUGUUCGCGCAGUUGCAGGUGCGCGGCCGCGACUUCGGCGACCUGCUCAUCUACUCGGGCGCGCUGCUCGUCUUCCUGAGCCUGCUCGGCUGGAUCCUCUGGUACACCGGCAACAUCGAGAUCUCGCGCCAGGAGCUCGAGCGCGACUACGGCCUGCGACCCUCGGCGCUCUCCCGCCUCGCGCGAAAGCUCUCCCGCCGCUGGUCGGCGCCAGCUUCCUCCUCCGCCGGCCGGCGCGCCGCGCCCGUCUCCUGGGGAGCGCGCGCCGCCGCCCGCACGCCCCCGCCGCACGCCCCCGGCUCCCGCCGCGUGCGCCUGCAGCUCGUCUCGCUCGAGGCCGGGCCUGGGGCGGCGGGUGCGGGCAACGAGUGAGCCCGAGGCACAGUCGCUGCCGCACGUCAGGGCACGGAGUAAUGAAGGAGCCAAUGAGCAAGCGCGUCAGUCAAUGACGAACGCAUGGCCACACCUGUCAGGACCCGAUGGAGGUGCGCAGCUGCCCCCGUCAUCAUCUGGCUGCCAGGAUGCCUGCGUGUCCUGCAUCUAUCCCCCCCUGGAUAAAGCGCUCUGCCUCAC